rnacentral:rRNA from 1 species
CAGUCGCCGCGGGAAUACGUAGGGUGCGAGCGUUAAUCGGAAUUACUGGGCGUAAAGCGUGCGCAGGCGGUUCGUUAAGACAGAUGUGAAAUCCCCGGGCUUAACCUGGGAACUGCAUUUGUGACUGGCGAGCUAGAGUAUGGCAGAGGGGGGUAGAAUUCCACGUGUAGCAGUGUAAUGCGUAGAGAUGUGGAGGAAUACCGAUGGCGAAGGCAGCCCCCUGGGCCAAUACUGACGCUCAUGCACGAAAGCGUGGGGAGCAAACAGGAUUAGAUACCCCUGUAGUCCCUGUCUCUUAUAA